rnacentral:tRNA from 1 species
AGUAGCUCAGUGGGUAGAGCAUCAGUCUAGAAAACUGACGGUCACGGGUUCGACUCCCGUCU